UACGGGGGGGCAAGCGUUGUUCGGAAUUACUGGGCGUAAAGGGCUCGUAGGUGGCCAACUAAGUCAGACGUGAAAUCCCUCGGCUUAACCGGGGAACUGCGUCUGAUACUGGAUGGCUUGAGAUUGGGAGAGGGACGCGGAAUUCCAGGUGUAGCGGUGAAAUGCGUAGAUAUCUGGAGGAACACCGGUGGCGAAGGCGGCGUCCUGGACCAACACUGACACUGAGGAGCGAAAGCCAGGGGAGCAAACGGG
rnacentral:rRNA from 1 species